AAGGAACUGAGAUGUUUAAGCAUUGAACUAUAUCUAAUAAUUUACUUUUCAACACGGUGGAAAGCCCUGGAACAUGUUCUCUCCACUAGACUUUCCUACUUGCUUUAAUGUCAAAUGUCAUCCAAGACGACAUGCUCUUGUUAAGUAACAACAGACUAUGCAAGCUGAAGAUCUAUGAAAAAGACAAGCGAGGGUCAUCGAGGAAGGGAAGUUGGUGGACUCACCAUAAACUGUGUGGCUCACCAGCUUUCAGCAUGGCAGAGUGGGAACACGGAUCUUCUAUGCAUGACGGCCGGCGGCUCCCAGAGUGAGUGAGCCAAUGCCAAAGAAGGUGGGCGACACAAUGUCUCCAAGACUUGACCUGGGGAGUCACACUUGGCAUGCAAAACAGUCCAAACCAAACCCCGCAUACAUGCCCUGCUCCUUCUAUGAUGUCACUGGUACAAUUGCCUCACUUGAAAUCUGAGUUAAUCCCAUUAACAAGAUGAUGUCUUUCCUAAGGAAGAAAAGAGCUGGAACGGAAGUACAAGUAAUUAGGAAGAAGUUGGGGUAGAAGAAUUCACAUGUGCUUAAGUUGGAAACUGAACAGGAAAAAUCUAAGGGGUUUAAUUGUAUUGGAACACGUUUUAUUUCAUGUGAUCUUAAUUAAUCAGAGGGAUUUUACUCCUAGACAUACAGUGUUAUGUAAACCAACUUAUACAGUAGAACUUACAGCUCUAUACACUC